AGUGAACGCUGGCGGUAGGCCUAACACAUGCAAGUCGAACGGCAGCACAGUAAGAGCUUGCUCUUACGGGUGGCGAGUGGCGGACGGGUGAGGAAUACAUCGGAAUCUACUUUUUCGUGGGGGAUAACGUAGGGAAACUUACGCUAAUACCGCAUACGACCUACGGGUGAAAGCAGGGGAUCUUCGGACCUUGCGCUAUUGAAUGAGCCGAUGUCGGAUUAGCUAGUUGGCGGGGUAAAGGCCCACCAAGGCGACGAUCCGUAGCUGGUCUGAGAGGAGGAUAAGCCACACUGGAACUGAGACACGGUCCAGACUCCUAAGGGAGGCAGCAGUGGGGAAUAUUGGACAAUGGGCGCAAGCCUGAUCCAGCCAUACCGAGUGGGUGAAGAAGGCCUUCGGGUUGUAAAGCCCUUUUGUUGGGAAAGAAACGCAGCAGGUUAAUACCCCGCUGUUCUGACGGUACCCAAAGAAUAAGCACCGGCUAACUUCGUG
rnacentral:rRNA from 1 species